CUACGGGAGGCUGCAGUGGGGAAUAUUGCACAAUGGGGGAAACCCUGAUGCAGCAACGCCGCGUGAAGGAAGACGUAUUUCGGUAUGUAAACUUCUAUCAGCAGGGAAGAAAAUGACGGUACCUGACUAAGAAGCCCCGGCUAACUACGUGCCAGCAGCCGCGGUAAUACGUAGGGGGCAAGCGUUAUCCGGAUUUACUGGGUGUAAAGGGAGCGUAGGUGGCAUGGCAAGUCCGAUGUGAAAGCCCGGGGCUCAACCCCGGGAUUGCAUUAGAAACUGUCAGGCUAGAGUGCAGGAGAGGUAAGUGGAAUUCCUAGUGUAGCGGUGAAAUGCGUAGAUAUUAGGAGGAACACCAGUGGCGAAGGCGGCUUACUGGACUGUAACUGACACUGAGGCUCGAAAGCGUGGGGAGCAAACAGGAUUAGAUACCCUGGUAGUC
rnacentral:rRNA from 1 species